AAUUCGAUGCAACGCGAAGAACCUUACCUGGUCUUGACAUCCCGGAGACCCUUAGGAAACUAGGGGUGCUUCCAUCUGGAAGAAUCUGGAGACAGGUGCUGCAUGGCUGUCGUCAGCUCGUGUCGUGAGAUGUUUGGGUUAAGUCCCGCAACGAGCGCAACCCUUGCCUUUAGUUGCCAGCAGUUCGGCUGGGCACUCUAAAGGGACUGCCGGUGUUAAACCGGAGGAAGGUGGGGAUGACGUCAAGUCCUCAUGGCCUUUAUGACCAGGGCUACACACGUACUACAAUGGCCGAUACAAAGGGCAGCGACACUGCGAGGUGAAGCCAAUCCCGUAAAAUCGGUCUCAGUCCGGAUUGGAGUCUGCAACUCGACUCCAUGAAGUUGGAAUCGCUAGUAAUCGUGGAUCAGCAUGCCACGGUGAAUACGUUCCCGGGCCUU
rnacentral:rRNA from 1 species